UAAUAUAUUUAUAUAAAUGCGAGUGCGGAGCGGAAUGGAUACUAUAGUACCCGUACCCGCACCCAUACCCGCUUAUUUUUGCGGGUAAUUACCCGUCCCCAUACCCAUACCCAUUUAUGCGGGUUUUUACCCUACCCAUUGUGGGUUUUUUUUGCAGGUAUCCACUGGGUAUGGAUCUAAUUGCAAUCCCUACUUGUUAUCGAUGGUUUGUUUUUUAUUUCGAUUAGAAAUACAAAUUUAUAAUAGUUUAUAAAAAAUUAUAUAAUUCAUUUAUUUAAAAAUAAGUUAAAUUUAAUAUAAAAAAUUUAAAAUGGUACUAAACUUUGGAUAAACAGACCACUUACCAUUUAUAAUACACACAUUAAGUCUAAUGAUAUUAAGCAUGAUGGAAUCCAAAGUAAGGUAAUGUAGGCACUGGCGGAGCUUUGCUGGGACAGGGGUGGCCGCGGCCAUCCAAAAAAAAAUUAAAAGAAAAAUUUAUAACCUUCCUCUCUCCCUUCUCCAGAUUCAGAUUCACGAAUCAGUACAAACGCGCGGCCGCCUCACUCUGCCUCCAGUACAGAUCGCUCAUCUGCUCGUGGCGGGCCUGCGACCGCCUCUGCCUGACUGCCUCUGUGGCCGUUCUUCGCUCUCUGUUCGCUGCAACCUCAUCCUUCUCCAUUUCGCGUUGUUGUUUUGUUCAAAAGGUUCAGAUUUCUAUUUUGUUAGUGCUGAUUGUUGUUAGUUAGUGUUGAUUUUUGUUAGUUAGUGUUGAUUUUUGUUAGUUAGUUUUGAUUUGGAAUUCUGUUAGUUUUGAAUCGUCGGUCCUUUGUUAGUUAGUUUUGAUAGUUCGCCGCUCCUCUGACUCUGUUAAUUUCAAUUUUUCUUAGUUCGUCACUCCUGUGUCAGUUUUGAGUUCUUCAUUUUGUUGAGUUUGUACCUAUCCUAAAAAUUUAACUUAUAUGGCAGGAUCCAAUAUUUUUGUGGAA